rnacentral:lncRNA from 1 species
CGUUGGUACAUUUGUUACAAUGGAUGAACCUACAUUAACACCUCAUUGUCACCCAAAGUCCGUAGUUUACAUUAGUGUUGGUGUUUUACAUUCUAAGGUUUUAAACAAAUAUUAAAUGACAUGUAUCCACCGUUGUAGUGUCAUGCGGCAUAUUUCACUGCCCUAAAUUUCCUCUGUGCUCUGCCUAUUUGUUCUUCUCUAUCUCCAGUUUCUGGCAGCCAGCGAUCUUUUUACUAUCUCCACAGUUUUGCCUUAUCCAGAAUGUCAUAGAACUGGAAUCAUACAAUAUGUAGCCUUUUUAGAUUUGCUUUCAUUACUGCUUCUUUUAAAGUACAAAGUGAUCUUCUGUGUUCUUUUGUCUCUAGUGGAACUAUCUUUACUUUGACAGUGUAAACUUAGGAGAGGAUUUUUUUCUGGGCUCAGCUUAACGAAAUAUAGGAAGCGAUGUCCUUCAUAUAAGCAUUUUGUUCCAUGGUGCCAUUGAAAUGGGUGCAAUUAUAUUAUCAUGCUCUAAAAUUAGACUUACCUUGUCAGUUAGGAAACAACAUCCUGAGUGGAAGAAUCUCUAUGUGCUUGGGAUCAGAAACUCAUCGGAACUGUCUCUCCCAUGGCGAGAAGACAUGGGUCUUGGAUGUAAAUGCAUCCUGCUAAACUUAAAGUGACAGCAAAUACUUUUCUGGAAGAGCUUUUUAUGGAAGAAGGAGGUUAUAUAUCCUCUGUUACUUCAUAAAUGAUCACAGUGAUUACCCUAUGAUGCAGGAUGAGGUGAGGGAUGCCACCGUCUAGCUGAGCUUCCACAUAUUAGAGGAGAGGGGGUUUGACUGAAGUGCUUCUCUUCUCAAAGCUUUUUCUUUCUUUUUCUUUUUUUUUUUUUAAGCAUUGGCUGACAUUUUGAAUUGUGUCUCAGUGAAAACUGAGGACAAUACCUAUUAGGAGUGAUGCAAAUAAAUAUAUUUUCUUAUUUUUAUAUUUAAAAAACCCUGAAAAGUAAAAUUAGCAAAGAAAGAAACUCCUAAGACCGCCUACCUACAUUCUCCUAUCUCUGCUACAAGGACCAAGAGCUUGAUUUAGCCUCUACACACACAUGCACAUGCACACACACGAAGAACCAAGUGUGAGAAUCAAAUAUUAAACAGAACAACUUUUUUUUUUGUCACUGUCCACUCAUACAUCACAUGUGUGAAGAGCCUGAGGUCCCCAAAGACUGUGUGUGAGAUGGACAUUACAGUAUCACAUUCAAAUGGCCUUUUUCAUAGGCGAAUCUUUUUGGUUCCAGAUACUCAUUCUCUCUGCUUGGUUCACAUUCCAGUCACCAUCAUGAAUGGAUACACGUGUUCUUUGUUGUCAGUUUGACUUGCCUUCUCCUUGAAUAGUUCCUGCAGAAAUUUAGCCCCACUUUAAACAUAUCAAAUGCACCCAUUAUCUUCACAGUCGAGGGCUGUUUUUCUUUCCUGGGAAGAAGUUCUCUUGUAACAAGGGACUCUCGGCAUCAAUGAUGAAUGUUAGCGGUUUCAGACAUUGAACAAAGGGUAUGCAAAGCAAUAUUUGGUGAGAGAGAGAGGUUGAGAACAAGAGAGUGUUCCAGAGAGAGAAAGAAAGAGACAGAGGAGAGAGAAAAAUCCCUUUAUAAAGUCAUUGAAAUACAACUUCAGAUACUCUUGUGUUUCUGGGAAGCCUCUAUAUAUAAAAAGUAGCAUCCUUCCAUUAAGUUCUAAAUUAAGUUAAUAAAAACAAUUUGAAGCAGAGGGGCCAAGUCUGCUUUCUGGAGGCCACAGUGAGUUGGGCAGUGGUGAUCGUUUCCAUGAGAAAAUUAGUUGAUUGUGGGAACCUAAUGAUUUCUCUGGAUUUAUUUCUGCCUCAGUCAUAUGGUAAAUGAAAGCAUCAUGUUACUCUUCCUCUGUUGCUUUCUCUCGCUUUAAUUUUUCUUAAAAUAAAUUUCCUUUACCAUCUCGAAGUAAAACAAAAAUCUCCCAGUCUCCCUGCUGCUGGGGUCCAAAAAGCCAGUGAUGAGAUUUGUCACGGGCUGCUCAGUGCUCUUGAAUUAGAGCAAAGAUGGACCCGCUCAGGUGACUGUAAUAUAGAUAAGAGGAGGUUGCCUAGCUCAGAAAAGAAUCUGUUUUUCUUUGACUGCACCUCAGCAAAGGUCAAAUAGGAUUAAAUUUUUUAAGUUGACCAGAACAAAGAUAGAUGAGUUGAUUUUCAGUGCAAAUUUGGUUAUGUCAAACCAAGUAGCACCAGAAAUAUGAUCGAUUAACCUCUGGAGAGUCGAUGGCAUAUUUCAUUUCACUCCCUCUGGAGUCACCAUGAACACUGUGCUGUCUUUCAGGAUGAUGGAUUUACAGGGAUUUCCAAAUGUCUGUUAAUGCCCUUCACCCACUUUGCUGAGAUCAGUCAUCUGAACAAAUGGUUUGAAGAUUUUGUGUGAAGAUGCUAUAAAAAGAGUCAUUGGUUUCCCUUGUUCAUAGUAGUUAUUAUGUAUAUGGGUAGAGAGGAGGCUACAAUUUGAGAAUUAAUGUCAUUGAAAAUGAGGGCAAUAUUUGAGAGCCUUGAAUUCUCUGAAGAGUUCAAAUAAAGAUGUCUAUUUUGAAGAGUAUCUUUAUUUUCUUGUUGAAUAAAGAUCUUAAACUUUUUGUUUUUUCAAA